UACGGGGGGGUGCGAGCGUUGUCCGGAAUCACUGGGCGUAAAGGGCGCGUAGGUGGCCUGAUAAGGGUGUGGUGAAAGUCCGGGGCUCAACCCCCGGAUCGGCCGUGCCGACUGUUAGGCUAGAGUACUGUAGGGGCAGGCGGAAUUCCGGGUGUAGCGGUGGAAUGCGUAGAGAUCCGGAGGAAGACCGGUGGCGAAGGCAAUGUUCUGGCUCGUUUCUGACGCUCAGGUGCGAAAGCCAGGGGAGCGAACGGG
rnacentral:rRNA from 1 species